GAUGAACGCUGGCGGCGUGCCUAAUACAUGCAAGUCGAGCGAACAGACGAGGAGCUUGCUCCUCUGACGUUGGCGGCGGACGGGUGAGUAACACGUGGAUCACCUACCUAUAAGACUGGGAUAACUUCGGGAAACCGGAGCUAAUACCGGAUAAUAUCUUGAACCGCAUGGUUCAAUAGUGAAAGACGGUUUUGCUGUCACUUAUAGAUGGAUCCGCGCCGCAUUAGCUAGUUGGUAAGGUAACGGCUUACCAAGGCAACGAUGCGUAGCCGACCGGAGAGGGUGAUCGGCCACACUGGAACGUAGACACCGUCCAGACUCCUACGGGAGGCAGCAGUAGGGAAUCUUCCGCAAUGGGCGAAAGCCUGACGAAGCAACGCCACGUGAGUUAUGAAGGUCUUCGGAUCGUAAAACUCUGUUAUGAGGGAAGAACAAAUGUGUAAGUAACUAUGCACGUCUUGACGGUACCUAAUCAGAAAGCCACGGCUAACUACGUG
rnacentral:rRNA from 1 species